CGCCGCGGUGCCGUUUGGCCCCGCGCCAUCCCGCCAUGCCCCGCCCCGCCCCUCGCCGGGCCCCUGCUCACCGCCGCUGCCCCAGCGAGCCAGGCGACAGCGGCUUCCCGGCAGGAAAUAAUGUUCUGGGUGAGGAAGCAGCUGGCAGGUACCAAGACCCAGCUUUCAGACACCAGCGCCCCAUGGCAGGGUUUGGAUCCUGGCACCAUCACCUGAGCCUCCCAGGGCCAGGCCCCUGGCUGUGGGGCUUUCCCGCACUCUAAGGGGUGAGAAGCCUGGGUCAGGGGACCUCUUGAACCCCAGCACUUUCCACCCCAACUCAAACCUCCCAUGUCCUGCCAACUCCCAGAAGUCCUGCCCCCUCACCUGGCAGGGUGAUGGUGCAGUUCUCAUCCUUGAGCUGCCAGGGGCCUGACUGGAGCUCUGGGGACUGGCUGGGAAAGACAGGCUCAGACUCUGAGCCCAUCACCUGUUCUCGAAUCCAAGCCUCAUAGGAAGCCACAGCAGUGAAGACUCCUGGCCGGUUCCUCCGUCCACAGCCAAAGCCGAAGCUGGUGAUUCCUGCCUGGAACCAUCGGCCGCCUUCCUCACAGACCAGGGGCCCCCCAGAGUCUCCCUGAUGAUAGAUGACUCAGUGUCAAGGGGUCAGCUCAGGGACACACCAGCUUAUCCUGGGCCACCUUGCAAAGUUUCUACACCUCUUCAUGUUGGUCCAACAUACAGCCACCUUCUCCUAGGAA